GGGGCUGAUUCUGGAUUCGACGGGAUUUGCGAAACCCAAGGUGCAUGCCGAGGGGCGGUNNNNNNNNNNNCGGUUGGCCUCGUAAAAAGCCGCAAAAAAAUAGUCGCAAACGACGAAACCUACGCUUUAGCAGCUUAAUAACCUGCUUAGAGCCCUCUCUCCCUAGCCUCCGCUCUUAGGACGGGGAUCAAGAGAGGUCAAACCCAAAAGAGAUCGCGCGGAUGCCCUGCCUGGGGUUGAAGCGUUAAAACGAAUCAGGCUAGUCUGGUAGUGGCGUGUCCGUCCGCAGGUGCCAGGCGAAUGUAAAGACUGACUAAGCAUGUAGUACCGAGGAUGUAGGAAUUUCGGACGCGGGUUCAACUCCCGCCAGCUCCACCA
rnacentral:tmRNA from 1 species